UCCCUGGUGGCUCAGUGGUAAAGAAUCUGCCUGCCAAUGCAGGAGACACAGGUUUGAUCCCUGAUCUGGGAA
rnacentral:tRNA from 1 species